GCUAGUUUAAAACCUGCUUCCAGUUCCUCCAUUUAAUCUAAAGGUUGUCUGUUCAAGAAGCUUGAGAGGAGUGUUGCUCGUACUAGUACAUAGUGAUACAAAGAAAUACUGCUUUUGGGGAUGUGAAAAUUUGGCUGUAAUGAUGUUUUAGCCUGGACAUGCUCAGCCAGGACAUGUUACAGGAAGAGGGAUCAGCAUUGGCUCACUCCUGCUCAUUGGCAGGCAUUCCAUGUUACUGAUGUCUCUGCUUUUGGAGCCAGAGAGAGGAGGCUGAAAUGAAACUUAGGAUAGGCAAGGAAAGAGUGAUGUGUAAAAUCGUGAAUCUCGGCAUUCUAAUCACAACCAUGGUUAUAAUUAGUGAUAUGGCAAAGAUAAAAUAUGCAACGUGCCUGAGGGACCUAUAUAUCCACUGCUCCCAGAUUGCUAUCUGACAAGCUAAUUAACCAUAACAAUGUUGAAAUACAUACUCAGAAUGGUUACUUGGGACUGGACUGACUAUUCUUUCAUUACAGUGAGAUGGAGAAAGCAAAGAGAAACUUAAGAGUAAGGGAAGUAGUGAAAUGAAGGACCUAUUUCUCAACCAGAAUGAAGGAGUCCAGGCUAGCAAACCUGCAUUACAACUGAUGUUGGAGCCACUGAUACCCCAUUGUAGUACCAAACCUGGAAGGAGGGCAUGGAGGGGGAUUAAGAGACCAGUAGAGCUGUACUUGAUUAUUGCAGAUGAUGGGGGAUGCCUCCCCAAGAAGAGUAGAAUAAAGAAGUCAUGCACACUAGCUUGUACUGGCACAAGUGCUUUUACGAAGAGUAAAUUGCUCACUGGAAAAAAAUACAGCUAUGAAUUUGAAGGUUGUGUUAAAUGACUAAGUUCAGCUGAAACCUAAUCACAGUCCUUGCAACCUGCCCUUGGUGAAUGCACUUCUGCAACAUGCACUGAGUGCUGUCUGUAGCCACGUGCCAGUGGUGCCGGGUGUUUGAGUGGCAUCCACAUUGCACAGUAGAGGGAUGCCCUUGGCACUCACCCAUAAGCAAUUCUUGUGCUUCUGUAAAAUCAUGAGUUGUGUCACUUGCUGCCUCUGCUGGCACACAGGGAGCUUCUUGUGUCUGAGCCGACAUUGACUGAAGAAAUGUCCUGAAGCUGCUGCCUUCCCUCAAAUCUGCUGUGAAACCUCAGGUGUACUCCUCAGAGGAAUGCCCAAGCUGGAUGCAUCCCAUCUGGUGAUGUACCUUCAAUCAAAAGUUUACCAUUUGCCAAAGAGAAAGAUAUAAUUGUCUGCCAAGACAAACCAACU